AUCUUCUUCCAUUGCGUUUUUGCAUACAAAAACGCAUGCGAGUCCUUGGGUUUGAUUGACAUGCCCUGUCAAUCUUACCUUAAAUGUAUGAGCUGGAGAUCAGUCAGGUUGCUAAGGCAUUUUAAACCUGCGUAAACGGUCUCUGCUUUUUUAAAUUUAAACUAUUAAC
rnacentral:misc_RNA from 1 species